GGAAAGGGAGCGGAUGAGAGGAGAAAUGUAACUUCAAGAUAAGGAUGCAAAUGUCAAGAAGCCACUGCUGUUGUGAGCUGCUACUCAGGCCUCUUGAUUGCAAAUGAUAAAAACCAAACUGGAACUAGUUUCGUGGAGAAGACUUUAUUGGAAGGAUGCUGUGGUGACUGACAUUGUAACAGAAUGGAAAUGGUGAUGCCUCAGAGGCAGCUAGGAUCAGGGCCCUGGAGCUAUCAGAGCACCAUCUCUCUGUCUAUCUUCAUUGCCUCUGUGUGUUGGUUUUAGUCUGUUCCACCACGAACCAGCUUCUUCCAUAUAAGGGAAGUGUCAUCCUUGAAUUUUCCCUAAACUCUUACAUUAUGGUCUUAUCUCCACAAAAGGAAUGUCCCUCUCCCUUAGGUUCAAUUUGAAAAAUUCCAGGAAGGUGGAUGAGCUCACCCUGGGCCAACUGAAGGAGACAAAAAAGUUCCUGGAUAAGGAUCUCCACGUGAAACAAUUGGAAAUUGAGAGUGAAGCCAUCUGAUGGUAACCAUGUCAGGUCAUACUUUGCCGCCUCCAGGACAUCUUCUGUUGAUUCUUCCACGCUGGGAUAGAUUUCCUCUCGUGACCAGCACAGUGCCUGAUACAGAGUAAACAUGGAAAGAGAAGAACCUGGAAGAAAAUUCCUCAUUGCCCUAGAGGUGAACCUGAACUUCCUUGCUCCCUGUCGUGGGUAUCCAGAGAACUUUGUUUUCCUGCUCUUGUCAACCUCAUGUUUAACCCUGCUGGUUUUCAUUUACUUUAUAAUUCAAUCAUAAUGAAUUUUAAAAUCCAUUCUAACUUCCAAGGAUCUCUAGAGACUUGCUUCAUCAGUCUGACAUCACGUUCAUUUACAUUUCUUAUUUUUUCGUUUCCUUGUAAGAGGUCUAAGCACUGUUCCAAUAAAACACUUUUAAGAUUGC
rnacentral:lncRNA from 1 species